ensembl:misc_RNA Metazoa_SRP Metazoan signal recognition particle RNA
GCUGGGCGUGGUGGUGCAUGCCUGUAAUCCCAGCUACUCAGGAGGCUGAGGCAGGAGAAUCACUUGAGCCUGGGAGGCAGAGGUUGCAGUGAGCUGAGAUUGUGCCACUGCACUACAGUCUGGGCGACAGAGUGAGAUCCUGUCUCAA